GGAGCCACAGUUGCAACAUCUAUAUGCAAACCUAUGGCAGCAGGAUAGCAGAAGGUAGUUGCAUGCCUGCUUGCCCGAUUUUGAUCACUUAUUACCAUUGUCAUUAAGUUUGCACUAAUAAAGUGUUAUUUGAUUUCAACGCCGUUUUGACGCAUAACUUUUUUGGACAAUUAGUUUUAUAUCGGUGAGUCAACAUAAAAUUGUUUUCUGCUAUUGUCUAAUUUUUGUAUCCCAGCUUGGUAAAUUAAGGGUUAAUAUAAAUUAUUUAGACAAUUUAGAACUUUAACGACGUGAUAAUAAGAAUUUUUUUAUUAUUAAUCCACCGACUCAACAAUAGAAUCUUCGACAUUGUUAUCUUCCAAGAUGCAAUUUAUUUCUUGUUUGAUUGCUCGUGUGAAUGACGCUCUCUUUCCUUUUAACCUUAAAAUCAAGAUCAAUUCGACGAUGUUCCAGAAAUGUUUGGACAAAUUUUAGACUUAUAGAGGGAAAGGAAACCUGAAUAAAAAAAAAAUCAAUGGGCAAUUUUUAUUUGAAGCUUAAAUGGCACAUUAUUAAGCAUAAAAGUGUAUUGACGUCAUUUCUGUCUUUUAAGUCUGAUUACAAAAUACAUCGGUAAUUUCGAUACUAAGAGGGCCUCUUUUAUCAGGUCCAUUAUAGAACCGGCCAGGCCUACAGUGGAACGGCCGGGUGGCGAACGGGGCACAGACCACCCCAAAAAUUCCCAACCCAUCCAAAUUUGAUCCCGGGUCCCUCAGAGCGGUAGGCUGCCACCUUAACCUCUCGGCCAUCCAGCCUACAAUUUUUGGAAAUUGGUGUUAUGUAUCCUACCGGUAUGAUAAAAUAAUAAUAAUUUUAUUAAUGUUGUAAUAAAAUAUAAUUGUAUUCGGGCUACUAGGGAGAGCAAAAGAAAAAGAGUCUAGUGGUAAUGGCGAGGUAAAUUCUAUUUCCUUCUAACUGAUUCGUAAAUUCUUUCGGGGGUUAUACAUAAGAGUUGGUCAGUCCCGGAUAUGUCGAGACCCGUUUCGUGUUUACUCUUUCCGUCCAAUGGACACCAACAAAGCCUUUAAUUAAUCAACUUUCUUCAUCUUCUGGAACCUGUAAGUGCUUACAGGAUGGAAAAACUUAAAACAAAAAAUGAGUGUUCUUGUCACGAAGAUGUUGAAGAAUAAUUGCAUAUGUAUUCUUCUCUGAAUUAAUUUAAUUAAGGAAAAAAGUAUUUAAUAAAGAAAUUGUAAUAGUAA